UAUCACAAAUAUUCAUGUUUGUGAAUGUGAUUCACAGGGAGUCCAGCACAAACAAAGACCCUUAUCAGGUUUCGCUCUGAGAACGAAGAACGGUUCUUGAAAUCAAAAGCCUCGGCCAAACAACAGUGGGAGAAGCUGAUCAAGGAGCUGGGGCUGGAGGGGAAGGUGUCCUCCCAGCAGGUCUCCAAAAAAUGGGAGAAUUAAAAAAAAAAAGUACACGGAGCUGAAAACUCCCUGCUCUGGGGGUGGGACAGACCAAGGCCAGGAGACCGCCACAACGUGGCAAUAUUAUGAUGACAUGCACGCGGUGCUGGGAGCAAGGGCAGCAAUGGACCCUCCACUCUUGGUGGAUUCAUGCGCAGAGGAUGCCAUCAUCCAAAGUGCUUUGAACGUCGCUGAGCCCAGCACCUCCGAUGCGCCAUGAACAGUCACUGUUCCCUCACAAUGUCAGAGUCGUCCUCCACCAUCCACAUCCACAUCCCCAUCCCCAAAAAGAAGAAAGUCCAACCCCAUACUUGAAUACCUGGUGCAGGAGAGUGAGAAGGAGCAGCAGCGCCAUGAGGAGAC